rfam:Stegodyphus mimosarum contig128398, whole genome shotgun sequence.
ACACAGGAUUUCUUAAAAUCUAUAACGCAAUAACAAAAAAAAAACUU